GAGCAAAACUGCAUGCAAGAAACUUUGGGAGUCGUGUACCAAACCGCGCCGUUCGCCAUCUCGUCUCACGAGACGCGCUCACUACAGCUCUUUAGAGGCGGGGUUGCCUCGGCCGUCGAAAGUUAUUUUUCUGAGAGAUUUCACUUUUAUGCAGAUUUCCAUUCUCUCGGCUUUGCAUUGCGGAGAAGCUUGUGAGGGUACGGCUGCUUCUUCGCGUGUGGUCCCAGGAGGUGCUCCACGCGGCAGUUUCCGUCCUCCGUUCGGCGACACAAGUGGACGUUGUAGGGUGCCACGUCGAACAGAGAGGCGAACGCACUGUGCGCGAAGCGCCUGAGGGAAAAAGAGUUUCGCCUGCAGAACUCGAAGCUACCGAAGCGAAAAACGGCCCCUGCGGAGUUCCGACGAAUCACGUGACAGUUUUAGACGUGUACAUCUGUUUCUAGAGACGUGAGAGUAGGCUUGAAGGUACAGACCACGCGAGAAGAACGCGCGCGGAGGCGGAAACCCGAGAAAGCAUUUCUGUCAGUUUUUGCUCUCUCUAACGUGAUAAGAGUCUUUGCUUCAACAGCCCUCCGAGGGGAGAGGAAAAAACACGAGCACACGAGAGACAAAAACUCCGAAGCAUGUAGGUAUGCAGGUGUGUGCAUGCUUGUACACUUUGACACACGUUGGCGUCGUGUAUCCAUAUAUCUAUACAUGUGAUUACCUAUAUGUGUAAAUAUUUGUCGGAGCCACGUUCACUGACUGAUUUCGGGUUUUUCAUUUUUCAUCGGCCGGCACUCGGCCUCUCUCGGGCACGAACCGCUGUAGUCCCGGAGAACGACGCACACGGCGAUAUCUGCAAGCAGAAAAACGAAGCCGAAGGAGACGCGCGAAAAUGCCUCCCGCUUCCAUGGGGACGCCAGGCACCCACAAGGCUUCACAGUACUUCGUGGAACCUGUGGGUUCAUAUACGCUUUACCCUCGCUUCGACUUUUUUGUGCAUGCAAUGCUCCGUUUAUAGAUACAUCUUUUAUGAAUUACCUAAACGCGUUUCUACGUCUACAAUGUAUCGGCAUGCAUGCUCGUAUAUAUAUAUAUAUAGGGAAGUAUAUACGUAUAUUUGUGAACCCCUAAAGUUGGUAAUCCGCAGCGUGCGACGGGGACCGAGAAAUCCAUCGAAUCUCCGCACCUAUGGAAGUGUUUGUGUCGGGGUGCGAAACGCCGUGGAGGCAACAGGUCGGUUCGUGGACUUCCUUUUUUCGGGGUUUCUAUAGGCG
rnacentral:lncRNA from 1 species